AUGGCGCCGCGGCUGCCGUCUCUUACAAGCGGCUGCCUCCUCCACGUCUUCCUCGGUCUGGACCCGGUCUCCAUCCUCCGCUGCGCCGCGGUCUCGCGGCACUGGCGCCGCGCCCUCAUCGACAACGCCGCCGAAAUCCGGCGCCACCCCGGCCGUCACCUCCUCCUCGGCAUCUACCACCGCGAGAUGUACCCGGGGGAACUCGCCUUCUCCCACCGCUUGUCCUGGCUGCCACUGUCUGCCGGGCGGCACUGGUCGGACUCCGUGCCGGCACCUUCCCAUGUGCCCGUGGCGGAAGGCACGACGCCGAAGCUGUACUCGCCGCUCGCGUGCAGCGACGGCCUCGUCCUUGUGUGCCGAGUCCUCCCGUCGGAGAUGUGCGUGUGUAACCCAUUCACCGGCUUCAGCGUCUCCAUACCCCGCCUUGGCGAGCUUGUCACAUACAACUACCUCUUGCACUCUUGUCAUGGCAAAGAGCCAAACCCUAGCCCCAACACGUUCCAAAGCGGCGCUUGGGGCCCGGUCUUUCGUCCCAACGGCAGCAGGCUCCGGAUGCCCUACUCUGAUUACCGUGCCGCCCCAGUAUUGUGCCAGGGUGCCAUCCAUUGGUUGUCCAGCGACGUGUCAGAUUACGACUCGUCGGCAUACGCGAUCACCCAUAUAGUCGCAGUGGACAUAAGCACAUGCCAGGCAAGAAUGACAAGGCUACCAAAUCACUUGUUGACGUAUCGACCAAGAAGAUGCUAAGAGCCUCUAAUGUUGGCUACGUCGUCCGAGGGUGAACGGCUAUCUUUGCUACGAACAGAGAAAUCGGGAUUGGAGGUAUCAAUCUGGUUGUAUGCUGGAGAUCAUGGUGACGACGAUGACGACGUGGAGGAGAGCUGGAUGCUGUCGCGAUCUGUCGACGUUCAGAAGCUCGUCGAAGAUGCAGGCCUGGCAUAUUUCCGACCGUCGUGCAAAGAUUGGGCAGUGUUGGAAACAAGGUUAGAGUGGUUUUGCCCCGGGAGCAACCGUUUGAUAAUCUGGGUUCCUUUCCUCGGAUUGUUUGUCCUUGAUCUAGUGAGCACGGAGAUACAAAGAGCCGAAGGAGAUAGCCAUGGACACAUCUGGCCUUAUGAGAUAGACUUGACGCUUUCCUUCUCCUCAAUGAAACCGUUCUAG
rnacentral:rRNA from 1 species